AGUGAACGCUGGCGGUAGGCCUAACACAUGCAAGUCGAACGGCAGCACAGUAAGAGCUUGCUCUUACGGGUGGCGAGUGGCGGACGGGUGAGGAAUACAUCGGAAUCUACUUUUUCGUGGGGGAUAACGUAGGGAAACUUACGCUAAUACCGCAUACGACCUACGGGUGAAAGCAGGGGAUCUUCGGACCUUGCGCGAUUGAAUGAGCCGAUGUCGGAUUAGCUAGUUGGCGGGGUAAAGGCCCACCAAGGCGACGAUCCGCAGCUGGUGUGAGAGGAUGAUCGGCCACACUGGAGCUGAAACACGGUCCAGACGCCUACGAGAGGGAGCAGUGGGGAAUAUUGGACAAUGGGCGCAAGCCUGAUCCAGCCAUCGCGCGUGGGUGAAGAAGGCCUUCGGGUUGUAAAGCCCUUUUGUUGGGAAAGAAAAGCAGCAGGUUAAUACCCCGCUGUUCUGACGGUACCCAAAGAAUAAGCACCGGCUAACUUCGUG
rnacentral:rRNA from 1 species